GUUCCCAAUGAUGCUGAAGAAACCAUGCUAAUACUGAAAUAUAUUGAUGAUUAAUACAUUACUUGAUACGCUGAGGGAACC